CAUCAUCAUCAUCAUCACUGCUGUCAUCAUCUAUCAUCAUCAUCAUCA
rnacentral:snoRNA from 1 species